rfam:Rattus norvegicus chromosome 11, whole genome shotgun sequence.
GGGGAUUUAGCUCAGUGGUAGAGUGCUUGCCUAGCAAGAGUAAGGCCCUGGGUUCGGUCCCCAGCUCCG